AAGGGCACCACAAGAACGCGUGGAGCAUGUGGCUUAAUUUGACUCAACGCGGGAAAUCUUACCGGGUCCGGACACACUGAGGAUUGACAGGUGUUUCGAAUUCAAAAUCUUAACAUUUAAGCGUUUUAAACCGCUGAAGUGUUUUCGUUUUGUUUUCAUUUCAAAUAUGCUAGUCCUUUCAUGAUUGUGUGAUAGGUGGUGCAUGGCCGUUCUUAGUUCGUGGAGUGAUCUGUCUGCUUAAUUGCGUUUCACUUAUGGCGAGCAUGUGCUUUACUAUUCUUGUGACCUCAUCGCUUUGCGGCUUUGAUUGCGUCCGGUUUGGUAGGCACGGCUUUCGCCUCGAAGGCAACGAACGUGACCG
rnacentral:rRNA from 1 species